rnacentral:rRNA from 1 species
GACGAACGCUGGCGGCGUGCUUAACACAUGCAAGUCGAACGGAUAGGCCCUGCUUUUGUGGGGUGCUCGAGUGGCGAACGGGUGAGUAACACGUGAGUAACCUGCCCUUGACUUUGGGAUAACUUCAGGAAACUGGGGCUAAUACCGGAUAGGAGCUCCUGCUGCAUGGUGGGGGUUGGAAAGUUUCGGCGGUUGGGGAUGGACUCGCGGCUUAUCAGCUUGUUGGUGGGGUAGUGGCUUACCAAGGCUUUGACGGGUAGCCGGCCUGAGAGGGUGACCGGCCACAUUGGGACUGAGAUACGGCCCAGACUCCUACGGGAGGCAGCAGUGGGGAAUAUUGAACAAUGGGCGGAAGCCUGAUGCAGCAACGCCGCGUGCGGGAUGACGGCCUUCGGGUUGUAAACCGCUUUCGCCUGUGACGAAGCGUGAGUGACGGUAAUGGGUAAAGAAGCACCGGCUAACUACGUG